AUUCUCUGUGGCAGACAAGCAACUGUUGCUAAGUGGGACCAUGAUUCAAGAUCUUUCCUGAACUUUCUGUCAUAUGUGGCUCAGUUUUUAGGCCUUAGGUCCUGGCACUGUUGCCUGGCAAGUUCUGAGUCCUGCAUCCUAUCUUUCAUCCUCAAAGGGCCAACCAGGAAACCAGGCUCUGCAUCUUGCCUCCCUAGGGAACAGACACCUGAGAGCACGGUACAUGCCGUGAAUAUACAUCAGGGAGGGGAGGGCACAGGCAGACUCAUUUCUGAAGGCAAAAAUCUAAGGACCUCAGAAGGGACUCUUCUCACCCCAACAGCCUCCUAAGCUGGAUCAUGUUAUCCUCAGAAGGAGGGAUCAUCUACUUCUGGAGUCAGUGCCUUUCCAAGUUUCCCUUGCUGGCUCAAGAUGGUGGUGUGGUUUGACGACGACAAAACGAUGGGGCCAUCACAAUAUAAGACAUGAAGGGAGACCCGCAGGAAACUUUUGUAAGAUGAUGGUGACUGAUGACACUCUCCUGUCUGUCCAUGAAGAGAAUAGCGUGUGUGUGCGUGUAUGUGUGUGUGCAGACAUGUACAUGCUCAAGUGCACAUACACACAGUUUGUCUGCAGGGAGCCAAGACACAAGCCACCAUCCUGACCCAAUCUCAUAUAACGAAUAAAAUAAAAAUAUUCAG